GAAAAGCUGUUGGGUCCAGUGAUUUAUAGCUUCGCGUUCGCGAUAUUACAGUUUGGUUUUGUUUUUAUUGGAAUUAGAGAGUAAAUUGUAUAAUUCCAAUAAAACUUCAGCUGUAAGAAUAAACUUGAACGUUUUUACCGCUACCGUACGCAUAUUCAACGUUUUUGAAGUGAAAUCUUUCUGCAUACAGUCUCUCCCUUUAAUUUUGUGAGUACGCCGGCGUUGUAACGAUGGUUUCGGCAGCAGGACCCAAACCGGCCGCGUUUCUCAUGGCAAUGGACACCGAAUAGUUCAUGCCAGGCUGCAGGUUUUGAAACAUAUAGAAGUCCUUGUUGCCGGAAGCAGGGAUAUCCUAGACCCGCAAAGGUUGAAAAGAAGAGUGUUAGGUUUUGCUACAGUGCAGUGCAGGUGAAACAAAAGCAAGGCAAAAAAUCGCAAAUCUACACAAAGUGAAAAGUUUAUAAAAGUGUGAAGUUCUAAAAGUGUUCUAUAAAAGUGUGUGAGUCUCAAAAGUUAUAAAAUUACAAGCGAAAGCAAAAAUAAGCAAAGCGAAUUCAAAGGCUACAGAGGAAGCUCAAACACUACCCAGUGCUGCUGGUGA